CGUAGGGCGCAAGCGUUGUCCGGAAUUAUUGGGCGUAAAGAGCUCGUAGGCGGUUUGUCGCGUCUGCUGUGAAAACCUAAGGCUCAACCUUGGGCUUGCAGUGGGUACGGGCAGACUAGAGUGCGGUAGGGGUGACUGGAAUUCCUGGUGUAGCGGUGGAAUGCGCAGAUAUCAGGAGGAACACCGAUGGCGAAGGCAGGUCACUGGGCCGCAACUGACGCUGAGGAGCGAAAGCAUGGGGAGCAAACAGG
rnacentral:rRNA from 1 species